GGACCAUUCGAUUUCUGCUAACCGCGACUCCAGCCGCGAUCCCAGCACCAGAAGCAACCGAGAAUCCAGAGCAGCAACCUCAGGGCAAUCCGAGCCUCGGACGGCGCAAUCUCCACACAGAAUAAAAUGUCCAUGGCAAACGUGCGAUUCGUCUGCGGCCUCGUGCUGGUGGGUCUCAUUUUCUUGAGUUUCACGCUGGAAUCGGCGGAGGCUCGCUACAUGCCGACCCGGGCCGAUCCCGGCCGUCGUGAGCAGAUCAGAGAGCUGAUUAAAGCUGUCCUGGAACUCGCUCCAGCCGACGGACUUCACAACAGCUACGGAGCCUACGAAUACGGAGCUCCGAGCGGUCUCAAAGGCUUGGAACGAAACGACUGAUCACCCGGCAUCAUGGGAAUAGUCGAGGGUCAGGAGCUUGUCCAGCAGCGG